rnacentral:lncRNA from 1 species
GACGUUAUCUCCCUUUCUCCUCAGCUACGGCACCUGAUUAAAGCCUUCCCUGGCAGUACUUGUCUCCGUAACUGUCAUUCUGUGUGAAUGUAAGCUGCAUGAGCCCAGUGACGUCUGUGUUGUUUACUGUCGUCUCUAACACUUUGGAGACAUGAUGUGAGCACUUUCAUUUUUCUCUAGGACCUGCAAAUUAUGUAGCCUAAUGCCCACGGGAAGCUCAAUGGAGCCUCUUGCCUCCACAAAAACCACUGAUUGAAAGAAACGACAGCAACUAGGAGCUCCUGUGACUCUGUUUCCAUUCCCAUUCCCUGGGAAAUGAUCAACAGCUCCGGUGUGUUCUGUUCUCUGAACCAGCCACCCCACCCUCACUGCCAGCGCAAACCUGCUCUCCUGUGACCACCUAUUCUCUGAAUGUUUCUACAUUUAGAGAAGUUCACCCUCAGAAGAAAGAAGGAAGCCGGGCGCGGUGGCUCACGCCUGUAAUCCCAGCACUUUGGGAGGCCGAGGCGGGCGGAUUGCCUGAGCUCAGGAGUUCGCGACCAGCCUGGGCAACACGGUGAAACCCCGUCUCUACUAAAAUACAAAAAGUUAGCCGAGCGUGGUGGCGGGCGCCUGUAGUCCCAGCUACUCGGGAGGCUGAGGCAGGAGAAUCGCUUGAACCCGGGAGGCGGAGGUUGCAGUGAGCCCAGAUCGCGCCACUGCACUCCAGCCCGGGCCACAGAGCGAGACUCCGUCUCAAAAAAAAAAAAAAAAAAAAAGGAAAAAGAAAGAAAACAGCAGCAUUUUGUAACAGUGAUGAAUUUGGAUGAAAUUUGCAAGACCUUGGACUGUUUUCCCAAAUGUCCGGGCGUCUGCCAGGCAGCCCUCAACUGCAGACACAAGCCACUAAAGGGAGUCGUGGCUCCAGGGAGCUCGAAUGCUUUCCCUGGAAGAUCCCCUCCCUAAGCCCCCAUCUCCUGGACGUGAAACCCUGUUUAGUCUACAUUCAGGAACAGCAGACGUGCUUUUCUGAGAGAAUCUAGCACCUUGAGAAUUUUGCCAUUUGGGAUGCGUGUGUAUGUGCGCGCGCGCACGUUUUCGAAGCUACAAUUAGCACUCUUGAAAAAGGAGAAAGGGAGCGGGAAAAGGAAAGAAAGAAAAAAAGUAGGAACUCCUGUCGAUUUUAGUUCAGGCUGCCUGAAGAUUCAACUUAAAAUAACUGCACCAUCAAUGCCCCAUAGAAAUCACAACGGAGGUAGAAGUUUGCGCGGUUCCACACUACCAUCUAGGGGAUAACAGGUGAAAUGACAACCUUCUACUCCCAUUUGUACUGACCUUUGUUAUCUUGGACAUAGGCAUGUAGGUCACAGAACACAUCCUACGCGCUCUUCUUCCAUCGGGUGGUCUCAAUAUCUACCGUCACUGACGUACUAAGAGGAAUGGGAAAUCUUCGGAGGGUUUAGCAUAGAAUUAUGUAAUUCGGCAUAUUAAAAAGAUGACUCUGUGUACUCUGUGGAAAGUAGCCUUACGGAUGGAAGGUGGAAGCCACAGAGAAAGCAGCUCACCAUUCUGAACCAUCUUCCAUCUGAAGUGCUG